GAACGUCAUUGGUCAUCCUCGUCGAGUUUUUGGCCGUUUUGCAGGUAAGCUUAUUGGCAUCACAAAUGUUGAUGUAAGCUACCUAGUACAUUGCUACGCUCGUUGGCGUCAUCGCUGAGACCGCCUCGCACUCGUCGCUGAGGUCCAUCAGCUCUCGGAGGUCAACCUCUUCGCGCCUUGGAGUCCUCUGCUGCAUUGGCUCACCUGCAUUCAUGACUUGUUUUUGUUUGUUUGAGUUCAAUAAAGUAAUAACUAUAGUCAUAA